rnacentral:lncRNA from 1 species
UACUGGUAUAUGAUGUGGACAGCUGUCGUCCAGUGAGAUUCAGGCUGGUUUCUGGCUGUGAGGGCAUAAUUGAAUUCCCUGUCUCCUGCAGGUUAGAACUCUACAAGGUUCUACUGCAGGUUGGAGCCACCCUUCCUCUGUAGCAGGUGGUAGGAGGUAUUGGUCCCAGCAACUCACCAAUUGCUGUGGUCUACUCUGUCUUCACUCUCUCCAUGGGCUUUAAUUUCAACAAAACCAAGCCUUGCAGAGGUCCUUUCUCUGACGCUCACCGGGUACCACCUUCCUGAGUUCAUAGCAAUGGCUCUCUGGCCCCAGGUGCCUCUGUGUGGCAUGGAGUAUUGUUUGGUGCAUGGAUUCACAAUUAAAUGCAGCUUGUAAACUGUGUGGAACAGCAUUGUUUUUUCCUCAAUUCUAUUUGACACUGCAUGCUGCAUAGUUUUGGAACAUACGCUACCUCACCUGCUACCUGGGGAAAUACUCAUCCUUUUACAAGAAGCCAGGAGACCUCUCCUUAAUGGCUUUUGGGCGAGAGCCCUGGACUAGAGGCAGAGUUGGGCAGGCUGCUGUAUCUCCCAGAAGGCUAAACAGGUCUCAUCCUAGUAUCCAACUUGGCUUGGCUCCAGGAUUUCCAUUUUCAGUGAAUCUAUACUGCGCAUCAAAUUCAGAUGCCCAAAGACAUAAAGUUGGGAAAAAGCUGACUGAGCUCAAACAGCCUUCACUUUUUGAAACAUUCAACUCAAAUGACUUGACUAAAAUAUAG